AUUGAACGCUGGCGGCAGGCCUAACACAUGCAAGUCGAGCGGAGCGGCGGACGGGUGAGUAAUGCCUAGGAAUCUGCCUGGUAGUGGGGGAUAACGUCCGGAAACGGGCGCUAAUACCGCAUACUAUCAGAUAAGACUAGGGCGGAUUAGCUAGUUGGUGGGGUAAAGGCCUCAAAAGGCGACUAUCCGUAACUGGUAUGAGAGGAUGAUCAGUCACAUUGUAACUGAGACACGGUCCAGACUCCUACGGGAGGCAGCAGUGGGGAAUAUUGGACAAUGGGCGAAAGCCUGAUCCAGCCAUGCCGCGUGUGUGAAGAAGGUCUUCGGAUUGUAAAUCACUUUAAGUUGUGAGGCGUUACCAACAGAAUAAGCACCGGCUAACUUCGUGCCAGCAGCCGCGGUAAUAC
rnacentral:rRNA from 1 species